rnacentral:rRNA from 1 species
CCUACGGGAGGCAGCAGUGGGGAAUAUUGCACAAUGGGCGAAAGCCUGAUGCAGCGACGCCGCGUGAGGGAUGACGGCCUUCGGGUUGUAAACCUCUUUCAGCAGGGAAGAAGCGAAAGUGACGGUACCUGCAGAAGAAGCGCCGGCUAACUACGUGCCAGCAGCCGCGGUAAUACGUAGGGCGCAAGCGUUGUCCGGAAUUAUUGGGCGUAAAGAGCUCGUAGGCGGCUUGUCACGUCGGGUGUGAAAGCCCGGGGCUUAACCCCGGGUCUGCAUUCGAUACGGGCUAGCUAGAGUGUGGUAGGGGAGAUCGGAAUUCCUGGUGUAGCGGUGAAAUGCGCAGAUAUCAGGAGGAACACCGGUGGCGAAGGCGGAUCUCUGGGCCAUUACUGACGCUGAGGAGCGAAAGCGUGGGGAGCGAACAGGAUUAGAUACCCUGGUAGUCCACGCCGUAAACGGUGGGAACUAGGUGUUGGCGACAUUCCACGUCGUCGGUGCCGCAGCUAACGCAUUAAGUUCCCCGCCUGGGGAGUACGGCCGCAAGGCUAAAACUCAAAGGAAUUGACGGCUGAGACGNGCGAGCGACACGAGGAGAG